rnacentral:lncRNA from 1 species
AGGUCAUUAUGAGUCCUGACACCUUGAGGAGUGCCUGAGGAUAAAUAAGAUAACAUCUCCUCUUCUCUGUCUCAUAGGCUUCAGAGAACCCAGUUCUCCAUUGGCCCUGGUACUUCCCUGGGAGUCUAGACCCACUCUUUAUCCCCUGUAAGUUUCAACCACCCAAAACAGCCACCUAUGCCAGUGUGCCGCAACAGGCUGUUUGUACCCUUGAAAGCUCUAAAAGGUUCACCAUCGCCGGCCCUGUGCAUUCCUCCCAAUCCUGAUUCAGAGGUGCCCAAGAGAAUCACACGUUCUCCUUCCCUCGUGAACCUCAUUUAGCACAUCUCUGAGAAUGGUGGCUGGACUGGCAAGAUACUCUGGAAAGAAAGCAUGACAAGAGGCAGCCCACUAAGGUAUCCCUUCAUACCUGUUUUUGUUAGUUGUUGAAGAGUCUGUUGGAAUUUAGUU